UACAGGGGGUGCAAGCGUUAAUCGGAAUUACUGGGCGUAAAGCGUGCGCAGACGGUUGCGUAAGUCAGAUGUGAAAGCCCCGGGCUCAACCUGGGAAUUGCAUUUGAGACUGCGUAGCUAGGGUGCGGAAGAGGGAAGCGGAAUUUCCGGUGUAGCGGUGAAAUGCGUAGAUAUCGGAAGGAACACCAGUGGCGAAAGCGGCUUCCUGGUCCAGCACCGACGUUCAGGCACGAAAGCGUGGGGAGCAAACAGG
rnacentral:rRNA from 1 species